rnacentral:rRNA from 1 species
UACAGAGGGUGCAAGCGUUAAUCGGAAUUACUGGGCGUAAAGAGCGCGCAGGCGGUCGAUUUAGUCGCGUGUGAAAGCCCCCGGCUCAACUGGGGAGGGUCACGCGAUACUGAUCGACUCGAAUCCGGGAGAGGGAUGUGGAAUUCCAGGUGUAGCGGUGAAAUGCGUAGAUAUCUGGAGGAACAUCGGUGGCGAAGGCGGCAUCCUGGACCGGUAUUGACGCUGAGGCGCGAAAGCCAGGGGAGCAAACGGG